rnacentral:rRNA from 1 species
GACGAACGCUGGCGGCGUGCUUAACACAUGCAAGUCGAACGGAAAGGCCCUUCGGGGUACUCGAGUGGCGAACGGGUGAGUAACACGUGGGUGAUCUGCCCUGCACUUUGGGAUAAGCCUGGGAAACUGGGUCUAAUACCGAAUAUGAUCAUCGGCUUCAUGGUCGGUGGUGGAAAGCUUUUGCGGUGUGGGAUGGGCCCGCGGCCUAUCAGCUUGUUGGUGGGGUAAUGGCCUACCAAGGCGACGACGGGUAGCCGGCCUGGGAGGGUGACCGGCCACACUGGGACGGAGAUACGACACAGACUCCUACGGGAGGCAGCAGUGGGGAAUAUUGCACAAUGGGCUCAAGCCUGAUGCAGCGACGCCGCGUGAGGGAUGACGGCCUGCGGGUUGUAUUCCUCUUUCAGCACAGACGAAGCGAAAGUGACGGUAUGUGCAGAAGAAGGACCGGCUAACUACGUG